GGGGACACUGAGGGCUCUGGGGACACACAGAGAGGGGUCUGUAGGGUCCUUGGGUGGUGCGUAGGGAUCCUGAGGGGUUUGUGGGGACAGAGGGCUCUGAGCUCAUUGCCCCCUCCCCACAGUGGAGCAGCACAAGGAGGCACUGGAGAGGUCCUGGCAGCAGGUGCAGGGUGAGCCCAGGGGGCCCUGGGGUCUUUGGGACCCCCCCCAAAACCUCCCCUGAUGCCCCCUGACCCCCUUGACCCCCAUGAUUCCCUGACCCUUGUGGCCCCUCCUGACUCCCCCACAGGGGUUGGGACCCCCUUGGCCCCUGUGACCCCCUGACCCCCCUGACCUCAACCCCUGUGACCCCCCUGCCCCCCCAGAGUCGCUGCAGAGAGCACAACUGCAAGGGAAGGAGGUGGAGGCCAAAGGUCAGAGGCGCUGUGGGCUCUGCCUGGAGCAGCAGCAGGACAUGGAAGGGACAAAGCAGCACUGGAAGCAGCUGAAAGACCGUCCCCUCACCCUCAGGUGGCAGCACUGCCAGCAGCUCGAGUCCAUCAUGGAGGAGCUCAAGCACCUGCGUGUCACACACGUGAGCCCUGGGCUGGGGUCCCUCGCACACCUGGGGGUCCCUCGCACACCUGGGGGUCCCUCACACACAUCCUGGGAUCACACACCCCCUCCCCUGCUCCGUGUCCCCCUCCCACCCCUGUCCCCCCACAGGCUCCGGCCCACCUGGAGGCUGAACUGGUGCAGCUGGAGAAGAUGGAGGAGAAGUGGCUGAACUGGGGUGAGCCCCUGACACCUGAGUGACCCCUCAGGACCCCCCUCAGGCACCUGAGGAACACCCUCAGACACCUCAGUGACCUCUGCCAACACCUGAGUGACCCCUGGACACCUGAGCCCCCCCAAACCCCGGAGUGUCCCCUUGGGCUGACCGGUGUCCCCCCCUUGCCCAGAGCGCCGUGUGAUGGACACCGAGGAGCAGCUGGGCCCACAGGCACCUGUGCUCAGGUGAGUGCCCAGCUCUGGCCCCGCCCCCUCCAAGGUGACCCUGCCCACUCAGGCCUGGCCCCGCCCCCUAACCCCCAUCCUCGCAGGCGAUUGGUGCAGCAGGACCAGGAGGGGGCGCAGCGACAGCUGGAGGUGGAGCUGGGCCGGCAGCGGCUGAGCCGGCGGCGCCGUGACAGGUGUGUGACACCUGGGGACAGGUGUGUGACCCCGGGGACAGGUGUGUGACCCCGGGACAGGUGUGGGACCCCUGGGGACAGGUGUGGGACAGAUGUGAGGGACAGUAUGUGACCCCUGGGACAGGUGUGUGACCCCGGGACAGGUGUGUGACACCUGGGACAGGUGUGGGACAGGUGUGCCCCUGUCACCUGCCCCACCCACCUCUGGCCCCGCCCCCAGGUUGGCCGAGGAGCUGCAGCAGCUGCAGCGCCCCCGCGAGGCUCA
rnacentral:lncRNA from 1 species